AUUGAACGCUGGCGGCAGGCCUAACACAUGCAAGUCGAACGGUAACAGGAAGAAGCUUGCUUCUUUGCUGACGAGUGGCGGACGGGUGAGUAAUGUCUGGGAAACUGCCUGAUGGAGGGGGAUAACUACUGGAAACGGUAGCUAAUACCGCAUAACGUCGCAAGACCAAAGAGGGGGACCUUCGGGCCUCUUGCCAUCGGAUGUGCCCAGAUGGGAUUAGCUAGUAGGUGGGGUAACGGCUCACCUAGGCGACGAUCCCUAGCUGGUCUGAGAGGAUGACCAGCCACACUGGAACUGAGACACGGUCCAGACUCCUACGGGAGGCAGCAGUGGGGAAUAUUGGACAAUGGGCGCAAGCCUGAUGCAGCCAUGCCGCGUGUAUGAAGAAGGCCUUCGGGUUGUAAAGUACUUUCAGCGGGGAGGAAGGGAGUAAAGUUAAUACCUUUACUCAUUGACGUUACCCGCAGAAGAAGCACCGGCUAACUCCGUG
rnacentral:rRNA from 1 species